AUAAAAACAAAUCCUGGGAGGUUCAUUGAAAAUUUGGUCAUGUAUUUGGCUUUUCCAAAGCUUUCUUUAACAGCUCCUCCCCCCUUUUUCCCCUCACCAAAAAAACUUACUUCCCCAAAGAACAAAUCCUUGUUUAUUUUGCAUUAAAUAACAGACAGAAAAGCAGAAGUGUGCUUCAUUUAUUAAACUUUUCACCAUCAGAUUAUAGCAUUUCAUGCAAUUUUUUGCAUUAAUGAGAGCUGAAACAGCUAAAUUUAAGUUAGUAUAGACAACAUUGAUUGUGCAUCUAUGUCAAUUAUUCUUUGCAAAAAUGCUAAACAGAACAUUAGUUAACCAUGUGGUAAUUUUUAAUGUGGUGAAGAAUUCCUGAGGAAAUGUAUAGCUAAAGGCUGACUACUGAAAACAGAGUCAAGUAAAGGACAAUUAUUUAUAACACAGUCUGAUUGGAUACACAAAUUAUGGUUGUACCAGCAGGUUUUAUGAUAUACUUAACAUACAGUUCAUCCUUAUUUUUAUUUAGGAUAGAGAUGACAUACAGUGGAAGAGGGCGGUAAGGUACAAAGGAAAAAGCAAGUGAAUCCUGAGUUAUUGUCUCGCUCUAACCUGAUCGUGUGGGACGCUGAAGAUGCCUGAACAAACUCAGGGAAAAGAAUAUGCACUGAGGUCAGAUGCUCAUAUUCAAGUCAUGCAGAAAUUUCUCCCAUCCUGCUAAAGUUUGGAAAGCAAAUCAAUCAUUAAGCAACCAUGCUAACAAGUCAUAUAAUUGCUACUUAAUUUAACAAAAAAUGUCCAAAAAUAAAAAUACCAUUAAGCCUUCUCUAGAGCUUUAUGAGUGUAACCUGCAGGCUCUCAGUUUUCUCCCUGCAUUCUAGGUACACUGCAAACAGGAUUUUAACUUCAGACUUUGCAGAACCAGCUUUACAUUUCCCUGCUUUGCUUGCUGCUGGCCUUGUUCAAGACAGGGCAGGAAGAGAAAGAAAUACGUCAUCUUCCAUGGAAGUGAAAGCAAGAGUAGUGGAAUCAAAGUUGGUCAUUUUAUUUCAUCUGGGCUUGGAUACCUACAGUUAGAUACCAACUGCUGAGUGAAGCUGCUGUAUUUGCCUCUGUUUUCCAUCUGGACUGCAUCCUGAUGAAAGCUUCAUUAAAAAAACACUGAGUGUUUUGUUUCAAGAAGUAGCUGAAUUUUAUUUUUCAACAAGAACACAAAAACACUAAAAGAUACAGAAGUGAUAAGGGAAGAAACCUGUUUGGGGUUGGCCAGUAGCAGAAUAUUUUUCUGUCAGAAAACCAGAAAAUCUUUUAAUUGUCUUAACGGUUUUUGUUUUGGUUUGGUUUUCCUAUGUGAAUACAAGUGGUGUCAGUCAAUUCAAAUACUCAGCUUUUAGCUUAGAACUGCAUCUAUUCUCCUAAACUCAAUCACAUCAAACUGCACUUUGAGAGGCUCUUCUGUUUCCCGUUAAGUCCUACAUCCUAACUAGCAACAGCUUUAUUUAAGGAAGCUGGAGGUUUUGGUCAAUAGGGUGAUUUUUUUUUCAGGAAGUUGAUAACAAACCUUUCCUCCUGACAGCAAUAAUUUUGAUUUCUAAGAGAAGAGAGUAGCUAGAGCGCUAGAGUGGCUCUCCUGCUUUGCUUGUUCACAAACCCUCCAAAGAUAAAAGUCAAAAGUAUAUCCAUGCAUACAUGCGGUGUGCUCCAAGUCUAAAAUAAAUCUAAAGCAGUUUUGAGCCUCCA
rnacentral:lncRNA from 1 species